rnacentral:ncRNA from 1 species
AUCAUUGCUACGAUAAGGAACAAGUACGUAAUUAUUGAAUCUACAGAAAAUUACCGGUUGAUGAGAGGUUUUAGAAAGAUUAAUUGCCGAAUACAUCCUUUAGCUUUGCACUGAACACAUCUUGUUGAUUUAAGCAUUUUGUUAUUAGGCUGCAACGAAUUGGUGCUCGUUAUUGCACUAAAGUGUUGUUUGACACUUACUAAGGUAUUCUUAGUGAUAAGAAUAUAAAUAAAGGUGGUAACGCGAAUUAUCUCUCGUCCUUUUU